GGGUUGAUUAUGGUGUUAAAUUGUAUCCCCAUUCGUCCACCUAACCCAGAGACAGGUUUUAUAUUCUUAAAAUUCCAUCUGAGACUAAAAGUGAGUGGAAAAGAAGCACCAAGUCUGUUAUCAGAGACUGUACUUGCUCCCCCCGCAUCGGGAGUUUUGACUACAGCACAGACAGACAACAAGACACAGAUCGCCUUGGCUUUCCAACUAGCUGGAGCAGAGAGGUCUUCCUGGACUGUUUUCUUUCCCUUUUUCUGAAACAAAUCGAACCUGCUCUGGACUGGGGACUCGGGGGAGCACCGGGAGCUUGCACCCGUGGACUACCGGGAGCCCAGCCUGGGCAGCGGCAUUUUCCAGCGCCAGAGGGACUGAUAACAGAGCAAACACCCACAGGAAAGAGACCCUCUGAAGUUUGUCAUCUUUUCUGAAGGGCGAGAGAUCUGAUAGUUGGACUGUCAUCGGAGUGGACUUGCAGGACAAUUCACAAGACCUGGCUGGACUGGAUAAUAGGUAUUUUACCUACCUCACACUCAAACCCAUGAUGAGCCUUACCUCAGCUAUCCUCCUGCUCGUUCUGAGCAGCCUGACAACUGCCUGGAUCGUCCCUCAGCCACGACAGAACAUCUGGGUGACCCUGGCACACACACUUCAACAACACAAUAUCUGCCUGUCCACUGCAGCAGCAAAAGACCCUAUGUCUACCUGUCUGGUAGGAAUUCCCCUGCAGGCUGAAGAUUUUACAGCCAGCUUUAGUGAUCCCAAGUUUAAUACAAUGCCUAAAACACACAGUGACCAACCACAUGAAAAUCGUAAACGGCGAGCUGUGGCAGUGAACAAUCCUAUAGAAAAGUGGUUACCAGUACUGCCCAGAGCUAAUAAAGAGCCCCAAGAAUUAGAG